rnacentral:rRNA from 1 species
CCUACGGGGGGCAGCAGUGGGGGAUAUUGCACAAUGGGGGGAACCCUGAUGCAGCGACGCCGCGUGAGCGAAGAAGUACCUCGGUAUGUUAAGCUCUAUCUGCAGGGAAGAAAAUGACGGUACCUGACUAAGAAGCCCCGGCUAAAUACGUGCCAGCAGCCGCGGUAAUACGGAGGGUGCAAGCGUUAUCCGGAUUUACUGGGUGUAAUGGGAGCGCAGGCGGCUUGCCAAGUCUGGUGUGAAAACCCGGGGCCCAACCCCGAGCCUGCAUUGGAAACUGGCGGGCUGGAGUGUCGGAGAGGCAGGCGGAAUUCGUGGUGUAGCGGUGAAAUGCGUAGAUAUUAGGAGGAACACCGGUGGCGAAGGCGGCCUGCUAGACGGUGACUGACACUGAGGCUCGAAAGCGUGGGGAGCAAACAGGAUUAGAUACCCCGGUAGUC